ACUAUAUACCAUACUGGAAGGAGCACAGGCUACCCCCUCCAUUCGACAAAACGGUCAGACAAGGCGGCGACUUGGUACCGGAUUUCUCUUUCUAUCUCGUCUACUCUCUUAGCUGAAAACAUUCGCCUUGCGCAUACAUAUAUACCAUUUAUAUACAUAUAGGACAAUUUGUUAUUUAUCUGUCAAGCAUGGGAAAAAUUUGUGGCCUAAAAAAUUGUUUAAACAGCAGCGAUAGCAAUAUGGAAUUUUCUUUUCACAGCUUUCCUAUGAAAGAUAAUAAAAAAUAUAAAAAAUGGAUAAUGUCUAUACCAAAAGAUUUGUUGGACUUGCCCCUAAAACAGCACACAUAUAUAUGUAGCAAGCAUUUUUCACAUGAUUCCUAUGUAUUACGAACAGCAAAAAAUCUAUUAUUCAAAGAUGCAAGUCCGUCAAUUUUUUAUAUAACAUCUAGCAAUGAUGCAGAUAAAGAGAAUAUUGAGGAUCUCUAGGAUCUUCUUCCAAUUUUAGACAUGCAUUCUGUCUGGAUUCUUAUUAUAAAAUACACAUACAUACAUAUAUAUAUAUAUAU